rnacentral:lncRNA from 1 species
UUUUUUUUUUUUUUAAGUUAAAAGGUAUUAAAGUUAAAAGGGUAAAAAUAUUUUAAAAGGUAAAAUAACAUAGAUAAAAUAUCAUUCUAGUCAAAUUCUGAUCAAAUUUUCUGACCAAAAAGAUUUUUCCAAAUAUGAAGUCUCAAAAUUAAUACGUAAAAGCAAAUUGAGUUGGGUCGUAUUUAUUAAUUCUAAUGAGAUAAUAAGUAUAAAAAGGAAAAACAUAUUUUUUGGGAUAUUUUAUGAUUACCAUAGAGUAUAUGAUACACUUUACGAUAAUAUAUAACAAAUGAGGAUGUUCAAGUAAAGUAAAACUAUUCACGCCAAGAAAAUGAAGGUUGGAUUAAUGACCUCAUGAAAUUUCGUUUUAUAUAUGUAUGAACUAAAAAAAAAAUAGCUUACCCAUUUUAAAGUAACUUGAAAUAUUUUUUUUGUUUUUGUUUUUUCCUCUUAUUUGUCCAACAGCACUUGAUAAAUUUAUUACUUCUUAUUGAAUUUAUUAGAUUUUAUUGAAGUUGUAAAUAUUGUUAUGUGAUUCUACUUUAUCAAUGGCAUUUGUAGGUGCCUUGAAAUUAUAAAAAAAAAUUGGCAUUUAGGAAUCGUUUGGUGCAAAGAUUGAUAUGAAGGGAUUAGUAAUGUAGGGAUUAGUAACGCAUGAAUUAUUUUUUAUCAAGUGUUUCGUUCAUUGCUUCACACAUAAUUUUGUGUUUAGUUUAAAACUCUACAAGAGGCUUCUUUUCAAUUAUACGCUUGAAUAAUUAUGUGAUUUAUUAUUUCAUGUAUAGCAUUAUGGCAUAUUUUCAUAUUCAUGUCUAAAUUCUAAUAAAGAAGAAAAACAUUUAAGUUAUAUCGUAAUUUUUAUAAAUUUACAUGCCUAUCACCAUAGAAUAAUUUUGAAUAUGCGGUGUUUGAAAUUUUAUAUGAAUGAAAUUUAUCAUUCUUGUCCGAACUUGAGGCAGAGUACCUGAAAUACAAAUAUAUAAAACUGUAGACAUUUUCUUUGCAAAGGGAACAAUGUGUAUUUCUUUACCAAAAUUAUUUUUUUAAAGGGUAGUUCAGUCAUUUUGUUUCCUUAUCUAAGUCUUACUAAGCAUGGUAUUAGUAUUUUCUACAUAUUCUUGGUAUUAGAUAAGACCACAUAUGGUGUAUUAAAUUAUUCAUGUAUUAGGUGUGUUUGAGUUGAAUAAUACAACCAAACAUUAUAUUUGGUGGAAUAAAUUUUAAUCUAAGGACUAUCUUAAUUACUGCAUCCUACCAAAUGACUUCUUAUAGCUAAAGGCUAAACAAAAUAUAUAAUAUAACAUAUAAUGAAAAAUUGAUUUAAAAAAAACCUUGAUCAUUUUAACAAAAUGUUAUUAUAAAUAAAGUUUGAAGAUACGAAGUGGAUAAUUAAUUCCUUCAUAUCCUUUUUUAAAAAAAUUUCACCUUAAGAGGAGGAAUGACGAUCAAUAGUAUUCUCACUUAGUCUCUGAUUGGAUUCGAACCUUCAACCUAUUAGUUGAUGGCGAAGGUGUUCAUGGUCUCACUUGUCUGGGAACAUAAUUAUUUCAAAUUAUCCAAAAAAAAUAAAAAGGAUUUGUGAUCAAUUUUUAAAAAUGUAAAACUCGGUUAUAAGUUUAUAUUUUAGAAAAAGAGUUCCAUUAUUUUAAAUUUUACAAAAUAAGACUCAUGUUUGACGUGAAGAGAUUGUUCGUACCAUAUAAAAUAAUUAUAUUAAAGAAUAGUUAGUUACUACUUUGAGUGUUGACUAGUAGAUUUUUAUAACAUUAUGUAUGCUUGAAAGUUUGUAAUCGCAAAUAUUUGUUUAUAAAAGGAGUAUGAAGAUGUGUGAUUUAAUAAUGCGGCACCUUAGGAUAUUCUAAUACCUUGUUUAUAAACUAUGAUUUACUCAUUUGUUAAGAUUGUAUAAGAAUAAAUGAAAUUUUGAUAAUUUUAACAAUUUGUGAGAUUUUCAUUAUAUAUGUAUAAAAAAUAUUGAUAACUAAUAUUAAACGAAGAAAAUACUAUUUAACUUGGGUGUACAAAUAAUCUAGAGUAAUACACUUUAUUAAUGACUUAAUGCUGGUGAAAGAUACUUCCAAUUCACUAUCUUCCACACAAAAUUAUCUACAGAAAAAAAUAAAGUUGACCAAGUAAAAUAAGAGUUGGGAGAAAAUAAUCCAAGAAAACAAAUACAAAGCAUGUAAAGUUAAGGGUCAAAAUAAAUUCUCUAAUGUGUUAGGAAGACACAAAUUAGGAGGAAGAUAAAUAAAAAAAAAGAAGGCUUAACAUAUAAACAGUCUCUUAAAUUUAUCAGAAUAUUUCAUUUAGACACUUAAACUAAAUCAUGUUUUAAAUGAACACCUCAAUUCUUAAUACAAUAUUCUAAUUAGACACUUUAAAAUCAUAUUUUGGAUUAUUAUUUUUGCGUGUAUUCUCUUUUGUUUAUUAGAUAGUUAAGUUAAUCACAUAAAAUAAAUUAUUUUCUUAAAUUUUAUACCUUCAUCUCAAUAACUCGUAAACCCCUGACAUUUUUUACUUGAGGUUGACACGUAUAAUUAAAGAAAAUGACAUAUUUUAUAUAAUUAACUUAAUUAUUAUGCGUAAUUGUGUUUUUCCAAAUUUGAAUAAAAAAUAUCUAGAUAAAAUAUUUUAUUAUAAAUUAAAGUAUUUAAUUAAAACACGACUUAAUAAGUUGAAAGGGUUGACCAUGUAUAUUAAUCCUAAAAAAGAACAAUAAAGGCUAAAGCCUUCAGAUUUGGAACCAUUUAUGAGUGUGUGACCAUAGGAGCAUAGACAAAUGAGGAAUGUUUUUAUACAGAUUUCAGAAUAUAAGAAUUAAUUUCCAAUACCCAAAAAUAGAAAAAAUGUAUUCACUCUUUUAAUUUUCUCAAUCUCAAUCCUCAAAUAAUAAAUUAGCUAUCAGAUCUUGACCAUAUGCUUAGAAAGAAUGAAUUGUUUUUUUUGCUAGUCUUAUGGUCAUUAAAGAUUUUAACACUUUUUUUAAAAAAAAAAUAUUCUAAAAGAGUGAGAGAAAGGGGUUUUGUUGGGGAGGAAAGAGUCUUUAGAUUUCUGUUGUGAUUUGUUUUUUUAAGUCCCAAAUAUAUUGCUAGUCUUAUGGUCAUUAAAGAUUGAAUUUUUCAUAAAGGAUUCUUGAAAUUUUGUACAUUUAAUAUCUGGUUUGUCUUAGUGAGUGAGUGAGAGAUUACAUAGAUAUGGGAAUUGAAAGAGUCUCCUUUUAUUGUGGGUCUGAUCAUUUACUUCACAAAAACAUAUAUCAUUUUUAUUUAUUUGAGAGAUUAGCUAAUAUAAUGCAAUAGCCAAGAAGAGUCUUGGUGAUCUGUAUCUAAAGCUUUUUUUCCUCUUUUCUUUGAUAUGGGGGUGGUUUGAACUUGAAAUCUUGUAGUUACGCGGUGAAUUUGUUUGAUAUUCGAGUUGUUGUUGUACAAAGUUGUUCAAUGGAAGAAGAUCAAGAUUUGAAGUACUUUUGUAAGUUGUGUGACAAGAAGUAUCCAUGUGGGAAGUCAUUUGGUGGUCACAUGAGGUCUCAUGUACUAACAAAGGAAAAAGUUGAGUUUAAACAGAAAAAGUUGCAAUCUUGGAUUGAUGGUGGAAAGAACAGUAGCAAGAAAGAUCCUAAAUCACAGUUUGAAUUAAGUGAACAUUCUGGUUAUGGUCUUAGAGAUAAUCCCAAGAAAACUUGGAGGGCUUCGGAUUCGAGGUCUCCUUUGUUGCCUCAGGAGAAUGUUUGUCAGCAAUGUGGUAAGGUGUUUCAAUCGUUGAAAGCUUUGUGUGGUCAUAUGGCGUGUCACUCUGGCAAAGACAGGGGAGGGUCGAAAGAUGAUCACUCAUGGACCAGUGAAAACAAGAAUCUGUUGAUGGACAGCAACUCAGAUACUGAAGCCGAGGAGCCAAAGCUGAAGAGCAGAUCAAAUACUAAAAGGUACAAUAGACUUGUAGCUAAGUCUUCCUCUUUUUGCUUAGUUAACAAUAGAAGUGUUUCGUCAUCUGUUUCUGAGAUUGAUGAGCAAGAUCAAGAGGAAGUAGCUAAGUGUUUGAUGAUGUUGUCAAUGGAUUCUGGGAUUUGGAAUGGUGUCAAUUCAGUUGUUGAGUCCUCCGACAACAAUUCUGUUAUUUUGGAGACGAAAUCAUCAUCUGUCGACAUGAAAGUAGCUAGAAAGGAUUGUCUAAAGCCUGCUGACAAUCUAGAUGAAACACAUCGAAGGAGCAAAAAAGAGGCGGACAGAAACUUGAAACUUAAUGAUUUGAAUGCUGAAGCUGAGUCUGAGAAUUCUGAUUCCGGAUACUUUUUAGGCGAAUAUAUGAAAGUUGAAUCAGAUGCAUCUGUUGAUGAGUUCCAUAGAAAUGGUAAUUACCAAUGGAAUACAUCUAACAAGAGCCUCGGAGUUUGGUGCGAUGAGACUAGAAAAGACGUGGAAAAAGACUUAAACAGAACAACAACAACAACAAAGUACAUAACAGAAAUGAGGAUUAAUGGUUCAACCAAAGAAUAUAAAUAUGAUAGCUAUGGAAUGGCUUCAAAUUUGGCUAAGAGUGAAUCAAGAAAGAGAACAAAGGAUAUAUCUUAUGAACCAGAAUUAGGAAAUGAGUCGUCGUUCAGGAAGAUAAAGGUUGGUUUUAAAGGUCCUGAAGGAAGCAAACAUACUCAGAAGAAGAAAAAGUAUGAGUGCUUCAACUGCAAGAAGGCUUUUAGCUCUUAUCAGGCUCUUGGUGGACACAGACCUUGCAACAAAAAAGCCAAUGCCUAUUUCGAAUCAACAUAUGAAACCGAUGAGAAUGGUCGUGGUGCUGAAAAUGGUCCUAGUUACAUAGACAAGGGAAAGCAUAGGGAGACAUUUAACAACAGAAAACCAGCUGUUCAUGAUGGUCAAGAUGUCAAUUACAAUCCUGAGAAGAAGAUGAAACCUAAAAAGUUCAAAGGACACGAAUGCCCGUUCUGCAACAGGAUGUUUAAGUCUGGACAAGCUUUAGGUGGCCACAAAAGGUCACAUUUUCUUGUUGGUUCACAGGAAAAUCAUAAUCAAGCUUCAGCAGUCAAAGGAUCAGAAUUUGCUGAUUUACUUGAUCUUAACCUUCCUGCUCCUGUUGAGGACAUGAACGGUGAGCCUACCUUUGCGCGUUGGUAGUUUGUUAAAAAACAGAUGCGCGAUGUUUGUUGGUAAGCUGAUUUUCGAUUAGGCAGAAGCAUAAGCAGGUCAGGAUGCCCAGUUUCUCACUUGUCAUCCCUACAUUCUUUGUAAUCAGUUGUAAGAACCUUACAUCACAGCUACUUGUAGCAUGUUCUGUGAAUAUGCUUCAAGUUUUGCUAGUUAAGUUCAUUCACUUCUUUAACUUUGAGACAUUCUUAUGUCCAUGUUUUAGUUUUUAUGCUUCUAUAAUUAGUAUUCUCAUUCUAAAAACUAGCUGUUAUACUUCUGUUUUGUCAUUUGAAAAAGCCAAGGAAGUUGUUACUAUGCUUUAAGCUUUAUUGCUAAGUGAUUUGCCAAAAUUAUCUUCCCAAAUCAUUUUUAAUUGUUGAUUCAUGUCUUUUGUCUUUAUAAAUAGUUGGCUUCUUCAUGAGAAUUGCACUUGUUGGGAUAGGAACUAGACCUAUUAGUACUUCUACUCAUUGUCAGAUACACAGUCAUGAUUUGAAGUUUAUGAAUUCUGAAUGUCAAAUAGCGUGUAUUCCCCUAAAGAUAGAGAAAAGAAAUGAUUGUUUCAAGAGUAAGAUGGAUUAGUAAUCAGUACAAGUUUAAAAUCAUCUUUGUUAUGAUAUGUAAAUGUAAGUGUGAGACCUCCUAGCUAGUUACAAUUUCACAUAGGAAAAAGAGUCAAAUUUGCUCAUAAACUAAUCAAAAUCGAAUAAAUUUGCAAUAACAAUAGUGCACUUAACUAUGCAAUAACAUCAUCUUAAUAGACACAAUAGGUUAGUUAAACUCAAAAACUAGUGCAAUCUUGAUAAUUAACCUAAGAAGGUAAUAUGAUUCUCCCAUAGUUUAGGGGUGUAAAUAGUAUAGAAUAAUAAGUUCAAGAGAUAAUAGGACCAUCAUAUAAUUUAGAUGUGUAACUUACAGUUUCGCCAUAGUUUUAGGAGGGUUCUUGUCUCUUAUCCAUUAUUAGUUCCUAUUGUUUGGGAGAAUCUUUAGUAGGUAGUUUCCUAACUUUAACUCUAUUUGCUUACAACUGUCUCAACCAUAUAUAUGUAAAUAUCUACGAAUAUUUGAUUGAAAACUCAAUUAUUAUUGUAUAUUAACUUUAAGUCGUUAUAGAAACUCAUAAACUUCAAAUAUUGAAUCCGUCUCAGAUUACCAUUCUUGUAUUUAUCAAAUUCAAUAAAAUUACAUUGCAUUCCCUAUAAGUUUCCUCAUCAAUGACUUCACUUAUCAAUUUUGGCAUUCAUGUAGUGCAAUUCAAUCUUGUUGCCCAAUUACCUACCAAACUACAAUGUAACCUAAAAAAGCACAACUUGUGAAUUGUGAUGCAUGUGUUCACGGUUUGAAUAAAAUCGAUUUUUCUCAAACCUCAAGACCUUAGAAAACAUCUACUAUGAUCACAAUUAUAUUGUUGUAUCCAAAAGACCAGUAUUCCUCCUCUAUUUAACAAGAACAAUCACCAACAACAAUUAUCCAUGAAAAAACACAAGUCUCUUUAAAAUAGAAAGUAGUAAACCAACAGAGAAGAAGAGCUAAAUCCCAACCAUUAUAUAUUGUUUAAUUUCUUGGCAAUUGCUAAACAGCAACUCAAUCAAGCACUGAUCAUAUAUAAGAACAUUCUCCAAAUCACAUCUAAAAUCAUUAAAAACAUGCUAUGGGGACGUCAGGUCGGUGGGAUAGACGAGGAUAUCCCAUGAGAUUAUUUUAUCCACCUUCCAUAUGGAUAACUUAUCUGCCCAUUUAUACUGAAAUGACGGAAUAAAACAAUAAUACCCAUUACCAAACACAUGAUUAUUCUCAGUCACAUUACAGGACUAGUGCAAAAUGCUGGCCACAAUAAUUAUGCAGGCAUUCUCUCUAUCUUACCAUGACUAGGUGAAGCAUCGUCUUAACUUCGGUUUUCCCAUAUGGCAACUGGUAGUAAGACUUGAGUAUCGCAAUGUAGAUUGCCUAGUAAGACUUGAGUAUCACCAAAUUUCACAAUCUGAAGAAGCAAGUAUUCAUAUUUCCUCAGUUUUUAUAGGUCUCCAUCCUUUAUCAGCAGAAUUUUUCCGAGCAUGAGAUAAGAAUCCAACUAUGUAACCCAUAAAAGCUCCAAGCAUUAGCACACUUCCAACCUUUACAUACCAUGAGAACUUAGACUCCAUGUGUACUGCAUCUGCAGGACCAUCACGGAUACCAGCACUGAGAAGUAGUCCUGAAGCUAGGAACUCCACCUUAUCAUGCACCUCUCCGUCAUGGUUUCCUACAUAAGAAAGUGUAAGCUUUUUCUUUGUGGCAUGCAGCCUCACGUAGCCAAAUUCACUCCCACGGUACAGAGAUUGCAGAGGCUGUGGGAAAAUAGGAUCCGUAGGGUGGUCUUCUCUUGGUGCCCAGAUAGGCUGCCAGUCCUGUCCUGCCAUCCCAAUCACAAUUUGAACUGGGAAAGCCUUUUGCUCCUUCCCAUUCAAGGCCAAGCUUCCACAGGUGAAGUUAUUCAAAGGGCAAAACCUCUCAUACCUAUGAACAUGCCCCCACAAUACAAGAUUCACAUUGUUCUUCACAAGAAGAGGUUCCAAAUACUCAAUCAUUCUCUUCCUCAAAGAUAUAUCUUUUGCUCCGCUACUUGAACUGUACAUUGGUCUGUGCCCUUGAAAGACAACAAAAGGAGUUUUUACUCGAUCAACUGAUUCCAAGUCAUGCUUUAAAAAGUCAUACUGGUUACUACCUGGAAGGAAAUUGGUUUCAGUUGACAUAUAGACAAAGUGAACGGGCCCAGAAUCAAAUGAGUAAUAAAGAUUCCGAGUUGCAGGAGCAUGCAUUCCAGUCGGCACUGAAGAGUUUCCUGGCAUAUGGAACUUAUGACUGUAGGGUACACCACAUUCACCUCCCCCAUCUUUCCCGUAGCUUGACCAAUCAGGCUUCCAAGGUUGAAGUGGCCAAUCAUAUUCAUGGUUUCCGAUGCAUACAUGGUAUGGAACUCUGGAUGCAACAGGUUCUACCUGAGUAAAAAAGUUGUCCCACAACCAAGAGUAUCCUCUAGCGUAGCUGAUAUCUCCAAUAUGUGAGAUAAGGGCAGGCUUAUUACCAAGAGCUUCAAUAUCACGGCUAAUCCACUUAAUCGUUGAUUUACUUUCGUCCUGUGUACGAAGAAAUGUCAAGUAUGGGGUAGCAGUCCCCAUGUCUCCAAACAAGAAAGCAAAUGUUUCACCUGAGUCUCUAUUCUGUGACACAAAGCUGUAAAUGGUGCUCCAGCCCCCUGAAUCACUGCCAACCUGUAUGGUAAUGCAUCAUUAGAGAUAUCAACUGUGGCAACCCGACGUCAUUCAAGAAAUGAACAAUUUCUAACUCUGCAUUAUAUACCAUCACAGCGUACCACCAUAGCUACUCAGGAUAAAAAAAAUAAAAAUUGUAUGGAUGGGGUGAAAUUAGUAUUACUUCCGAACAUUCUUAACUAGAGGAUGGUUCCACUAUAGCAUAUAGCUCUGAAUUUGAUGAAAAUUCAAUUUUGGGGGCUCGAUGUUCUUCACUAGAUAAUUUAUCAACAACAAAAAAUUGUACUCCGCUAGAAAAUCGCAUGCAUGAACUCGCUCAUCACUCAAACCAUAACUCACCAUAUUAUACUGUCAUUAGAAAUCCCGAACUUACUAUCAUAUCAAUACCAUCAUAUUGCAAACCAAAACUUCACUUGGCUGCCCACUGCUCAAACCUCCCACCCCAUGUAAAAGCAUAACUCUUGCUAAAAAGGGCAGCCCGGUGCACUAAAGCUCCCGCUAUGCACAAGGUCUAGGGAAGGGCUCAACCACAAGGGCCUAUUGUAUGCAGCCUUACCUUGCAUUUCUACAAGAGGCUGUUUCCAAGGCUUGAACCCGUGACCUCCUAGUCACCGGACAACAACUUUACUGUUGCUGAGAAAGUAAAUUUGCUAAUUAAUUAACGGAAUACGGCACAUGUAUGACUACACGGUGCAUGAAGCAUCUCGCGUUCAUGCAGGGUGCCGGACAUAUGUAGGUACAGGUAAGAAGUAAAUUAGCUGGCACCAUUAACUCGUACAACGGAUUAGCAUUCCACAGCUUUAGCUCACUCAACAAUACCAUAUGAAAUUGAUAAUUACUACAUCUAAAGUUAAAAACAAUCUAAAUUUCAUACUUUUCCUUACUCUAAGUUAAUAUUAAUAACAACUGAUCUUCAAUCUCAACUAAUUAACACGGAGUUUAAGAAAAUUAAGACCCGAACAAUACCUGAUAAUAAUACUUCUUUCCCUUUUUCAAAUUAAGCAUAACACCAUCAUGUAUAUACCCAGGAUCUCUCCAUCCAAUACUACUAUUAGCUGGUGCAUCACAUAAAUCUUCCUUCUCAUACCUCACAACCCGAGUUUUCACAACCCGACCCAAUCUACCCCGGGUCAACCCAUAUCUCACAUAACUCUCUUUCCCGUCAGGCGUAACAAACAUAACCCGCAUCUCAUCUUCAAAACCCGUUAAAGCCAAAUGAACCUGUUCGGGUCCCCGACCCGAAACAAACCCAACCUCCUCCGACACCGCAAGAAUAUGCUUCGUCUGCGGCAAUGGAUUGUGGUCAUGAUCCACUAGAUCCGGUACAAUCUCCGAUUCCGUCCAUCUGAAUAUCCGAAACUGAUACCCAGAUCGAAGAUUGACUAAAGGGAUGGAAAUUGAACCCGACCCAGAUUCCCAUUCGGGUGUUGAAGAUAGGAAAAUAUAGCCAAUGAAAUUGUCGUGGAGUGAACUGGGUGGAGAGUAAAUUCCUAAGAAAUCGAGUUUAGAAGGUGAGGGGAUACCAGUCCAUUUGAUUGUAACAAAAUCACCAGAUUUUGAUAAGGUUUUUGGGGUUACAGAAAUGGAGAUUUGUGAAGAAGAAGAUGAUGAAAUCAAGUUGAAGAAGAUGAGUAAGGUGAAGGUGACAAAAGGGAUCAUCAUUAUUGGUGCUUUUUGUGUUAAUGGUUUAAAUUUCCACCAUUUUUUAUGGUGAAGUUUAGCUAUGGCGAUUUUCCGGCCAGUUGAUUGACGUGUCAAUAAAAGCUUUCGUUUACUCUUUCUAAUUUGUACUUCCCAAAAAUUACCUACUUAUUAGGUACACAAGUAACGAUAUCAUUGGCGGGGCAGUUGCGGGGUAAAUCCGUAUAAAUCCAUGAAGACUUCAAGCGCAAAUUAUUAAUUUUGUCUUUAAUUAUUGACAAUUUGAAAAUCAUCCAUUUAUUUAAUUAACUAAAUUUAGAUACAUAUUCAAUUUGUCACAUGAUAUAGUAAAUGGUAUCAAAAUCUUGUAGGAGCAUCGGUAUCUUAAUAAAAGGUUGAGAUAAGUGUUGAAAACACCUCUAAACUUGGCGAGGGGCGUAUUUCACUCAUGAAGCAAAGAUCGAGGUAUAUUUAAGUUCAAUUAGUUAAGUAAAGAAAUAUGUAUAAGAAGGUCAAUAGUUCAGAAAAAAAAAACUAAUAAUUCACACUCGAGUUUAAGGGUAUUUUUUAUACUUCUCUAUUUUAUUUUUCAAUUCAUCCCGCCUAGCCUCGUAUAGACCUAUCUCAUAUAAAUUUAUUCCGCAAGAUAUAUUUUUACUACCUAAAAUGACAUUGUUUUAUUAUUACGCAAUAAUAAAUUCAAUCAUUUAUAUCAAUAAGUUUAAAUAUGCUAAAUUUUUAGACUCUUUCUACAUUUUUUUUCAACUCAAUUAAUAAAUUUCAAUUAUGAACUGAUUUGUAUUGUGUUGUAUUGUAUCGUUCUGCAUUAUUUUAAUGAAUACAGUAUUUUAAUAGAUUGUAUCGUUCUCACAGCAAAUCGAUCGCUACAUGAAAUGGGUCUUUUCAUCGUUGGAUUUAAACAAUAAUAUACAAUAAAAUUUAAGUAACAAUCAAAAUAAAUAUUAUAAUUAAACUAACAAUACAAUUCAACGAGUAACAACCAUCCAAGGUGUCACGUUUUUAAUUUUUUCAACAACUUUGUGCUAAAGUUGAAGGUUAGCCAUUAAAAAAAAUGAGGAAUAAGAAGAAGAACGAAAACCAAUUAUACGUAUUUACAGAGAAAAUUAAUGAGGACUUUUGAGUAAAACGGAUGUAUGUUCUUAUUUCUAAAGAAUUUUUAUAGAGAAAAUAUUCUAAAAAUAACAAUUAAUUAAAAUAGCUUAGUAUUAAAAAGGGUAAAUUAGUCCAACUAUAAUUUCUAAAUAUUAAUGCUAAAUAGGAUAUAAGAAUUGUCACAAAAAGCGAUAGAUAUUAUUGACAAAACUAAUAACUAAUUCAAUUUUUUUUGGUUCAAAUAAAGUACUGUGUACAUUAAAACUAAAAUUAAAAAGAAAAAAGGCUUGGAUCUUAAAGAACAACAUCUUCAUUGAUUACCCACAUGGGUUGUAGUGCACUGGUGGGAGUGCUUCACUCUUAACCAGAGGUCUCGGGUUCGAGCCCUGGGUAUGGAGAAAAUCCUGUUGGUAGUGUCACCCCCGAAUGGGCCCUGCAGAGCGCGAUCCGGAUUUAGUCGGAGCUCCAGUGUGGGCUCUGGACAUCGGGUGAAAAACCAAAAAAACAUCUUCAUUGAUUAAAUAUACGUUGAUCUUUUACGUAGUUUUGUCUAAUCCGUUGGCAUCUGGCUCCGGACAUCGGGUGGAAAACCAAAAAAACAUAUUCAUCGAUUAAAUAUACGUUGAUCUUUUACGUAGUUUUGUCUAAUCCGUUGGCAUCUCAAAGCGGCAAAGCGGACAGUAAUGACUAUUCUCUAACCACUUUGUAAUGCAAUCUCCAUGAAACAUAUGCGAGCAAGGCAAACACAGUACUUGAGUUUCUUCCCCUAUCGCAUUUAAACAUACCAAACACUCAUCGUUGCUAUUUCUUUCAUCAGCUUCCAUCGGUUCUAGCAACUCUAUUGAUGAUUUACUAGCCGGCACCAUUCCAUUCUCAUGUAAUUCUGACAAAAUUCUACCAUGGUAUUGGUGAUCAAUCAUUAAUGUCACAUCCAUACAUACCUCCAACAUCUGUUUAGUCAUGAUUUUUUUCAACUUACGAGUUGUUUGUUCAACUAUAAUGUGUUGUUGAUCUUCAAACUCGUUCUUAAAAUUUAUAAACACUUCUGAUAUAGCACAGUCGAGUCUUUCAUAGAGCUUGGUAUCGGAAAGAUGAAGAAUGAUUUGGGUUGAUUCAGUUGAACUAUCCAAUUCUUCACCCAUGUUUAAGUAUUCUAGAUUAUUGGGUGUUAUAUACCAAAAUUGAUGUAUUAUACUGAAAUUACAGUGAAUGGUUAUAUAGGGUAAAGAAGAAGAAUAUGAAGAAGUAAUUGGGGGAAUUAUAAAUUUUUCUUCUUCAGAAAUUGGUUUAACGCUAACGAGUGUGUGUUUGAAGCAGUCAUGGCAUACAAAUCCUGUUGGCCACAUAUUGCAAUUUGCAAGUAUUAAGAAAAAUCAAUAUUUUUUACUAAUGGAAGGGUAGACCCUUCCAAGUUUAUUUAUAAUAAAAUAUUACUACCAAAAAUCAAAUAUCAUUAGAAAUAGGAUUAGUGAGUGGGAAGUUUAAUUUGAUAAGAAAAAGGAAUUAGUAACGGAAAAGAAUAUGUAUACGUUUUUGGAAAUAUAAAUUGGAAACUUCAAAUGCCCAUUUUUAUUUAGGGAAAAGUAAUUACAAAAAAAUUAGUGUGUCAAGAAAAUUUAAUUUAAUGUCAACUAGAAAGUUUCUCUGAGAUUCAUAUUUACCAGAGUGACUUUGCUGAAGCAACUGAAGUGUAGGUUCAAAUUCCACAAAGGCCAAAAAGCUACGUGGUUUCUUUCCAUACGUCUAAACCUUGGUGGUAGAAAAUGAGUAUCCUGAGGAAAAAUCAAAAUGCAUGCAAGAUGAUCAAAACCCCAUUAUUACCAAUGUUUUUAAAAGUGAAGUACACAAAAAGGCAACAAUGUUCAUGAGGCUUGAAGCGCACAAUUAAAGAACAAAAAAUACAUAACAUAUAUGGAUUAAGUACUACGAUAAUUACAAUAACUAAUUUCAAUAGACAAUAUAGAAUAAUGUCGAUAUUAAUCCAACUCCUCAAAAUUGAGAUUCAAAGAACUAACCUUUUUGCGUCAUUAUUUGAAGCGCACACUCCUUGACGCACAUGUUUUUACCUAUGAGGAACCCCUUUCUUCACAUAGCUUCAUUGCUUUGAGUGACAAUGAGAUGACUUUUACAACACUGGCUGUUAUGCGAAGGAAAAAAAAGUCGCUUGGUCCAACACUUCAGUUUUUCUUUGCUGCAACUCCAUUAGAUAAUUUCAACUGAACUUAGAGACAUAAUAAAUCACAUUCAAAAUCAAUACUCAACGUCCUGUUACUUUCUGCGUCAAUAUUUUAAAUUUGAUCAUCCUAAUUGAAAGAAGCUAAUCGGAAAGGACUUCACAGAAAAUUGCUUAAUAAGCAACAAAUGGGCCAUGAAGGUUGUCACAGUAAUAACACGCAAGCGCGAUACUCAAGGUUCAUGAAGUCAAUUGUGUUCUUGCACUCAAAGAUCUCAUCUGAUAUUAGUUUAUGUCACUCCUACUGUAGCCUGGUAGUUUUUCGAGUCCUCUUUCAUCAAUUGUUCCUCUGAUUCUUUCAGUAUCGUCUCAUCUUCAUGUCUAGCAUAAAGGUUGUAUAAAAUAGCAAAAGAAACAAUUCUUCAGUUUUGUUACCAUGAUUUUAAAAGUGAAAAUAAAUACUUAACAAUUGAUUUUGAAAAAAAAAGAAUUUAAGGAUAGAUAUUCACCUGAAUUGUGAGGCCUACAUCCAAGGAACAUAGUUUUAGCCUACCUAGGAAUGUUUUACAACCCUUCCUAGAGAUGUAACUGAAUUUGUGCAUAUCUAUCAAUCUCAAAAUAAUUUUUGACAAGUUACAACCCCUGAUUCAAACAUAGUCAUCCAACUUAGCAUUUCGUCUUUUGAUCUUCUUGUCUUUGCCCAACUCGUCCGUCACCACUUGUGCAUCGACCUCAAUAGGGUCCCUAUCGUUCACAACGUCUCUGGCAGCUAAAACAUUGUCAUGAGUUUGAUGUACCAUCUCAUAUUGAAUCCUGCUUGGUACCAGUAAACGACUACUAAAACUUUGUGUCGCUCUAAAAAUGCCCCUUAAGUAGCAUUUCAGUUGGAGUCCUGCCAACCAACAUCUCAAAUAACUUAAUGAUGAACACAAAAUAACAAUAUCUAAUGAAAAUACGAAACAAGUAAAAACUUACUCCAGUCACACAGGGGCAGUUCUACGGAUGUAAAAACCAACAGCUCCUCAUAUGGCAUUGAUGCUCGUACGGAAUGUUCUCCACCAAUCAUAUCUUCAACAAAACAAUCAAAUUUAUCCUGUUUUUGUACGGAGAAAACGACAACAAAGUGAAUUUGAUGAAAAGUACUAAGCAUAAAAUGGUACACAUAUAAAGUACUUACCUUGCCUCUGGGAAGAAAAAUAAUUCAAUGUCAUCAGUAGUAGCCUCUGAUGUGUUGAAAUACUUAGGCCAUAAAUCGGCUUUAGGAAGCAUUUCGAAGUGAAGAUUAAGAAAAAGUAGCUUUGCUUUUUCAGAAACACUCUGGCUUGCUUUGUCAGAGAGGUGAGCAACAACUCCGUAAAGUUUAUACUUCUUGUUCCAUACAUUAAAGCAACCUCUGCCAGAAAAUGUGCAAGAAAAUAGACAAUAGGAAAGUUAUUUUACUGAACAAUAUUUUCCGACUCUUUCCUAUCAAUCUCAAAAUAAUUUUUGAUGUUAUUCUUGUAUUAGACAUUUCUAUUGUCUAAUACAAUAUUUUGAGAUUUAUAGGAAAGUGAGGACAAGAUUGUUCAGUAAAAUAACUUCCCUACUGUCUGUUUUCUUGCACAUUUUCUGGCAGAGGUUGCUUUAACGGAUGGAACAAAAAGUAUAAGUUUGACGGAGUUGUUGCUCACCUCUCCGACAAAGCAAGCCAAAGUGUUUUUGAAAAAACAAAGGUACUUUUUCUUAAUCUUGACUUUGAAAUGCUUCCUAAAGUCGAUAACUUUGGCCCAAGUAUUUCAACACAUUAGAGGCUACUGCUGAUGACACUGAAUUGUUUCUUCCCCUCGGAGGCAAGGUAAGUACUUUAUAUGUUCACCAUUUUAUGCUUAGUACUUUUCAUCAAAUUUGUUUUGUUGUCAUUUUCAUUUUCUCCGUACAGAAACCAGGAGAAAAUUGAUCAUUUGGUUGAAGAUAUGAUUGGUGGAGAACAUGCUCUACGAGCUUUAACGCCAUAUGGGGAGCUAUUGGUUUUCACAUCCAUAGAAUGACCAUGUGUCACUGAAGUAAGUUUUUACUUAUUUCGUGUUUUCAUUAGAUGUUAUUUCAUGUUCAUUGUUAAGUUAUUUGAGAAACUAGCUGGCAGGAUACCAAUUGAAAUGCUACUUAUGGAGCAUUUUCAGAGCGACACAGGGUUCUAGUAGCCAUUUACAGGUACCAAACAAGAUUCAAUCUGGGAUGGUACAUCAAACUCCUAACAAUGUUUUGGCUGCCAGAGACGUUGUGAACGAUAGGGCCCCUACUAAGGUCGAUGCACAAGUGAUGACAACAGAGUUGGGAAAAGGCAAGAGGAUCAAAAGACAAAAUGCUAAGUUGGAUGACUAUGUUUGAAUCAGGGGUUGUAACUUGUCAAAAAUUAUUUUGAGAUUGAUGGGAAAGAGUAAGAAAAGUAAAAAAAUCCAUUACCCAGUGAUCAAUAGGAAAAAGUAGGAAAAGAUUGUUCAGUAAAAAGUGACUGUGAUGGUAUACCAAGAAAUAGACAAGAGGUGAAUAAAUCAUGAAAUAAUGAUCGGGAAACAAACCGUACAUAACACAAUAAUGUACACAACAACUUGUUAACGAUAAAGUAAACUGAAGACAUGGAACAGGUUGAACAACCUGGUCCAAUCAGCGUGUACGACGGAGUAAGAGUCACUCUAGGUUCAGGUCACUUAUAUCGAGGUUGCUACUUCUUGUACUACCUGAAGUCAACUAGAAUUAGAUUACGACUAAGAUUAUAUUACGACUAGGAUUAGAUUAUUUAUAAUUGCAUUAUUAUUAUAGUAGUAAUAGGUAUUGUAGUAGGACUUUAAAUAUAGUUAACUUAGGACUCUACAAUUCUCUCUAUAUAUAAGGAGCAUAUACUCAACAAUUUUAAUUAUCAAUACAAUCCUUGAUUUCUCUAAUCUUAGACGUGAGAAUUCUACAUUGUAUCAUAGCUUAAAAGCUUUUCCGCUCUCUAAGUAGUGAUCCAAAAAAAAACACGUUCAACUGCAAUGGCCCCCUCCACCAACACUAUGUCGACCUCCUCACUUCACCAACGCAUUACAGCUUGUUCCAUUGAACUUAAGCCAACAAACUACCUCAUAUGGAGGAUACAAAUAUCCCAACUGAUUCAGGUGUUGAGACUAACCUAUCUCAUCACAAUGAAUGAACCAACUUAAAGUAGUUGUUCCAUUGGACAGGCUAUUGGGAAAGUUGUAGCAGUUGAGAAGGAUGCAAAAGAUAGUGGCAAUACUUGAUGAUUGGGAGGAGAAAGAUGUGUUGUUAAGGAGUUGGAUCUCAGGCACCUUGACAGAAGAAAGCGUGUACCUAAUUUUGGGCAGCUCAACGACCAAGGAGAUGUGGGAAUGCUUGGAAGAAGUUUAUCUUCAAGCAACAAAAGAUAAGAAGUUUCAGCAUAAACAACAACUACAAAGUGCUAGGCUAGGAACCAAAAAAGAUUGAUGAAUACAUCAAGGAAUUCAAAGGCAUAUGUGAUGGCUUUGCAGCCAUUCAAAAACCUGUGGAUGAAGAUAGCAAAGUAAUCAAUUUUGCUAGAGGUUUAGGUCUCAAAUACAAGACCUUCAGGACUAUCAUGUUAGAUAAGGUAUCAUAUCCUACCCUUAAUCAAUUUGUUAAUGCUCUCAGGGUUUUGAUAUAAGGGAAGAUGAAAAAGAGGUGCCACAACAAAACCAUAAUAUGGUAUUCUUUGCCCAAAGGGGCAGGGAAGUGAAAACAACAACUUCAACUCCAAAGAAAGAGGUUUCAAGCCUACUGGACAGAGAACAGGUUCUCAAAUCAAUCAAUAUGGACCAAGUUCUCCAAACAAUCAAAGUUUUCCAAGUGGAAAUAAGGAGAGGAACAGUACUGAGUAAAGUCAAAUUUGUGGUAGGAAUAAUCAUACUGCUCUUAAGUGUUUUUAUAGGUGGGACUACUCAUAUCAAUCUGCAGAUGAACUAUCACAAGCAACGACUUGACAUCACACUCAUACCGAAGCAUUGACAAAUUUACGAAGCAAACUAAAAGUAAUCGUUCCUCCACUCUCUAGCUUGAGGGGAAGUGUUGAAGAUAAAGAAAACUGAAGACAUGGAGCAGGUUGAACAACCUGGUCCAAUCAACGUGUACAACGGAGUUAGAGUCACUCUAGGUUUAGGUCACUUAUAUCGACUAGGCUGCUACUUCUUGUACUAGCUGAAGUCAACUAGAAUUAGAUUACGACUAGGAUUAGAUUAUUUAUAAUUACAUUAUUAUUAUUAUAAUAGUAAUAGGUAUUGUAGUAGGACUCUAAGUAUAGUUAACUUAAGACUCUACAAUUUUCUCCCUCUAUAAGGAGCAUGUACUUAACAAUUUAAUUAUCAAUGCAAUCCUUGAUUUCUCUAAUCCUAGACGUGAGAAUUCUACACAACUAACAAAAUAUGAAAAAAGGAAACACCAACAGAGAAACAAAUGUUACAAGAGGCAUAAUAAAAAAGACGAACAUGAUUAAACAAUUAAGAUGCAACAGAAGAUAUUUACAACUAGAGACAGGUUUAAAGAGAAACAAGGAACCAAUGACAUGACAACUAGAAAUAAACAACUUACUCUGAUGUUCUCUUGAAAAAGAGAAGGAAGUUCUUUUGCAUAACAAAGUAUAAGAAAAAAAUCAUUCCUUUGCCAUCAGUUUCACCCUGAAAAAUUGCGGUAGGAUAUAAUGGUACCUGUAAAAAAGAAAGAAAAAGGGCAAAAGCAACACCUUAGCAACUCAAAUGAGUGAACAUUUGAAUACAUAAUGGGUCAUAAGAAGAAUAUAAACUACAUGAUUACAUGAACAUAAGAAAGAAAAGUUUUCGUACCAACAAACAUGAUUCUGGAGGGCUGAGAAUAGGGGUAAAAAACACUGGCUUGAGAAUAGGUUCACAACUGAAAAGGAAUUAAAUUAGACACUUGAAAUAAUUUAGAAAGAAAGUAUUUUUUAUCAAACAUGACUAAGUAAGACAAGUAAUUAGUAAAAUCAAUUAAAAUAACACAAAACAUUCAUCGUUAGGGGAAUUAAUUAAAUUAAACCAAACAUUUAAAGUUAGAGUUAAUCAAAACAAAAUAAAUAAAUAAUUACAAUCCAAUAAUUAAAAUAGAGAAGAUGAAUUUGGGCCUAAACUGCUGCUGCCUAGAAACAUCGGGCCAAUUUUCAGUGUGUAUAUCAACACUAUAUAUCAGUGUAUACAGGCUUGUAUACCAAGCUUCGUUUCCUGUAUAUUUUCUUCCAAUUGACCUGUUUCAGCUUCCCUUUCUCAACGAUAACCAAGGUAACUUGAUGAAGAUAUGUUGGAUUUUAACCCAACCCACAUGCAAGGAAGGAGUCUCAAAAGACUCAUUCAAAGGGAGUUCAUGCAUAGAAAUCAAAUAAUAAAGAAUAGAAUGGGUCCUAUUUUUCAAGAUCGUAAUAAUCAAAUGUGAAAGCUGUAAGAAAUCAACAGUGCAGCCAAACAUUAUUAAGACCAAAAGAUCCCACAUUCCAAUAGAUAAUUAUUCUUAAAUAAUGGAGAAUCCAAUGCAUAAUCAAGAAAACAACACUUUAAUUACCAUGCCACUUAUCUAAAUAAAUAUAAAACUCAAGUCAAGCUAACACAUUCAUCUCUAUCAACCUAGGCAGUAGAGAAUAUAGGCAAAUUUGCAAAAGAUAAACUCCAAACUUACAUCAAGAAACUAUGUUCAUGAGAAAUGAAAAAUAAUGAAGCAAAUCAUUUGAAAACUCAUUUCAGAUUUCACACUAGUUUACAAUCUUAUAAAGUAAAGCCUUUUGAUUCUCGAUCAAAUGACAUGUACACGAAACAUUCACAUAUAUCCAUACUAAGAAAGACUUUGAAAGAAGCUAUUCAUAUUAGAAAACUGCAAACAAACAAUUAAUACUCAUAUGCAAAUUACAAAGACAAUGAUAUUAACUAUAAGCUGAAGUAAACAAAAAAAAACCUUUCCUAAAAUGAAUACCCAUUAGCUAAAUUGACAUCAGAUCUCUAAUUCAAACAUCACUACAAAUCUAUGCAUAGUAAACAACAUAUUCCAACAUUUGAUUCAACAUUUCAACUUGAUAAAAAUGGAUAGUUAAUCAUAGAUUCGCAAGCAUUUGAAGAAAAUUUAUAACUCAACCAUUUAAUGACUCAUAUCAACGUGGCAAUGAACACAACAACCAAAUUUAACCCACAACAACUCAUAUACGAGCAAAUCACAACAUCAUACCAAUAUCACCUAUUUAAACGCCAACCUAGAGACAAAUCUGAUCAAAACUGAAAUUUACACACUUAAAAUAGAAUCAUACUUUUAGAGGAAAAAUGAACUGCUAAAAAGGAAAGAAAAAGGAAAGAAAACAGACUAAUUAGCUAAGAAUACAUCAAAUUAAACAACAAAACGAGAUUAUACGAGGAUUUAAAUAAGACAAUAAAAAUUUACCUUUUCCGUAGCAACUUCCACGACAACGAGCUUAGCGAUGAAGCUUCUUCCACUGACCUUGACUUAACUGAAUUCCGACGCAACAACAAGAAAUAGAAGGAAACUAUGGUCCAAACCUUUGUGAUUUAGGCGUGGUAAGAACACUGAUUUUUUCUCCAAAUUUUGAUACUCAAAAACCCUAUUUAGGUAAUGAAAAAAUUGUUUUCGGACGAAGCCUUUUGUGGUUUAUAGAGGGUCAAAAACUCUGUGAAAUAGGGAAGGGAGAGGGGUUUAUAUAGGGGAUCGAUUUGGGGGGAAACGGGUGAGGGAAUUGGAUAAGAAUGAAUUUGAAAUUCAAAAAUUAUUGGAGGAUAAGGUUGGACGAGCUAUCAAUUAUACUAAUCUUGUACAAUUCUCAAUGGAAUUGAAAAGAGGACCGAUUGAUUCUUUGAUGAAGGAAAAGGAGCAACAUAAUGGCUCCACUUGUCCCGAUUCGAGAAGUUUCUCAUACGGAGAGGAUAGGGGAGAGAGGGAGAGGGACGCGGAUGUGUCGAAUGGUUUGUGUUCGCGCGAGGAAGACGAGUACGGGUUCGUUGGGUGUUGGAUUUGUUCUUGACAAGGAGAAGAGGAAAACAUGAAUUCUGAAAAGGAGAAAGAAUAUGGGGAAAAAGGGCGCAUGGAGUGGGGUCGGCUUGUUGGUGUAUGUGGGGAAGUAGGUUGGGCUAAGUUUAAGGAAAGAAAUGGGCUUAAAUUUCUAUAAAAGCGUAUCCAAGAAAUGGAGCAAAUAUUGGUUAGAUUUGCAAUUGGAAAAGGGCCAAUGUGAAGGGCUGAAAUUCCCUAUACUUCUCUAGUCAUCCCACAAAAUGAAUGGCUUCUGAGUAAGUUGGUAAUAUGUGAAGGGCUUAAAUUGAACCAAAUCUGGCCUAAAAUAAUGACCGACCCGGCCCACACCCUUUGUCUCCAAACCCUCACGCUCCCAUUUUCUCCAUUCACGCCUAGAACGAAGCAGCCAGAGAAACAAAAUCAUGAAGUACCCUAGUUUAGUUCCAAAAUGGCUCCGCAUCUCUUCUCUCUCACAGAUAAAUACACUAAUGUGUGCUUAGCACGAGAGCUUUGGUACCACGCCAAGAUUCUAGAAACUCCUUGACGGUAUAUUACUCUAAUUUAUCAAGAAAAAACCUUCAAAUGACACAAAGGACAAGUGUAAAUCACUUUAUAGCAGAAAAAUUAAAGGUAUUUGUUUUUGAUCUAUUCAAAUCUUUACUUUGAGAUAUCAAAAUUUCAAUUUUUUUAUUGGUCAAUACACCCAAUCUUGUUUGACAGAAUCAGACGCAGAUCCCACAGCCUUACCUAUGUCACUCUCGUGUCGACACGAUUGCGGCACAAAUUUUACAGAGUUCGAGUAACUUAGAGUGGGUCACAACGCUACCUUGGGUUGAAUUUUGGUACAAUAAUUUUUACCAAACAUAUGCUGGAAUGACACCAUUUCAAGCACGGUAUGGGCGAGAACCUUCCACUAUAGCUCGAUAUAUAUUGGGGAGCACUGCUAGUGAAUUAGUUGAGGCUUACUUAAUUCAGCAUGAUGCGAUUCUGGAGUUGUUGAAAGCGAAUUUGAUCAAAGCACAAACAAAGAUGAAGAAGUUUACAGAUAAACAUCAUACUAAGCUAGUGUUUGCAGUUGGUGACUGGGUUUUUGUGAAGUUGAAACCAUAUCGACAACUUUAUGUGCGGCUACAAAAGGGUCAUAAGCUUGAACGACGAUACUUUGAUCCUUUCAAGGUCAUCAAGCGCAUUAGAGAGGUGGCAUAUAAAUUGGAGUUACCAAUCGAGGCCAAGAUACAUCUUGUAUUUCACGUUUUAGUUCUUAAGCGUUGCUUGGGCAAGCCUAUCCAACAAGUUACACCAUUGCAGCUCCAAGAUUGUCCUGACCAGAUCGAGAUAGAUGACUUCAACCUUUGAGGACAAGUGUAACAUCCGGCAAUUUGAAAUAAUUAUGAAGAGGCUUAGAAUUGGAAAUAGUCAUUUUAGAAAGAUUUAAAAAUCUGGAAAUUUGGCUAAGUAUGGAAAUAUGUGAGUUUUUGGCCAACUUUGAGCAGUCAUAACUUCUAGCUCAGGAUGAGUUAGGUGUAGUUCUAGUUAUGGUUGCAAAGCUCGUGGAAUGAUCUUUCCAACGCCACCAAGUUUGCUCAAUUCCGAGUUCGUAUGAGUGAGUUAUGCCCUUUGGAAGUUGGGCAGUUGGCAGGGAAAUCCGUCCGGAAAUUUGUAAGGGUAUUUUGGGUCUUUUACCCUAGCCAAUUGUUUUGGUUAUAUUGUUGUGUUAGACUGAUUUUUAGAUCAGUUUGUCCUUUUUUUAAAAGAGUGAGAGUUAGGGCUUUUUGAGUGAAGAAGAGAAGAAAAGGAGAAGAAGAAGAGGAGAUCAAGCAAGUUUCCGUCGUGGAUAUCGUCGGGGGUGAUCCCUACUAGGUAUGUGAGUUCAUAGUGUUGGGUUGGCUCUUUCCCCCACACGCCACACUCGUUUUAUUGUUGAAGAAAAGAUUGGUUGUGUUGUUGAAGUUGUUGGUUGUGUUGUUGAUGUUGUUGUUUGUGUUGUUGAAGUCCCUUGUUGUUUUGGGCAUGUUUCCGGUUGUGGUUUUGAGUUGAAAUCUAUUGUAUGUUGAGGGGUUAUGAUUCUAAGUGGUUGGGGUUGAAACCAUUGAAGUUUAGAAGGUUUAGAGUUGGAGAAAAGAGGGAGAAAAGUCGAGUUUUCUGGGGAAGAGGGUGGCGCGUCGCGCCUGCCAGCGCGCCCCAAACGGGGUUCUGAACUUUCCCCCUUGGGGGCGGCGCGCCUAGCAGAGCACCAGCAGGGUCCCUCUGAACUUUGAGGGCUGGCGCUCCGCGCCUUGCAGAGCGCCAAGGACGCCAAGUUUCCCCUUUCUUUUCAUACUUUCUCAUGCAUGUCCCUUAGUAUUGUACCUAUGUUUCCUAGUUGUUUCCAACCCUCCAAGGUACUUCUAAAAGUCAAGAAUUCAUCCGUAACAUGUGAUCAAACACCUUGAAUCCAUGAAUCCAAUUCAAGGAGAGUUAGUUUCCAAGUCAAGUGAAGUUAAGAGUUAAGUUCAGGAGUUAAGAAGCAAGCCGAAGCAAGUCUAUAAAGUUGUUCAAGAGUCUUUAUUGAAUGUUUUAACUUCAUUUUAAGNNNNNNNNNNNNNNNNNNNNNNNNNNNNNNNNNNNNNNNNNNNNNNNNNNNNNNNNNNNNNNNNNNNNNNNNNNNNNNNNNNNNNNNNNNNNNNNNNNNNNNNNNNNNNNNNNNNNNNNNNNNNNNNNNNNNNNNNNNNNNNNNNNNNNNNNNNNNNNNNNNNNNNNNNNNNNNNNNNNNNNNNNNNNNNNNNNNNNNNNNNNNNNNNNNNNNNNNNNNNNNNNNNNNNNNNNNNNNNNNNNNNNNNNNNNNNNNNNNNNNNNNNNNNNNNNNNNNNNNNNNNNNNNNNNNNNNNNNNNNNNNNNNNNNNNNNNNNNNNNNNNNNNNNNNNNNNNNNNNNNNNNNNNNNNNNNNNNNNNNNNNNNNNNNNNNNNNNNNNNNNNNNNNNNNNNNNNNNNNNNNNNNNNNNNNNNNNNNNNNNNNNNNNNNNNNNNNNNNNNNNNNNNNNNNNNNNNNNNNNNNNNNNNNNNNNNNNNNNNNNNNNNNNNNNNNNNNNNNNNNNNNNNNNNNNNNNNNNNNNNNNNNNNNNNNNNNNNNNNNNNNNNNNNNNNNNNNNNNNNNNNNNNNNNNNNNNNNNNNNNNNNNNNNNNNNNNNNNNNNNNNNNNNNNNNNNNNNNNNNNNNNNNNNNNNNNNNNNNNNNNNNNNNNNNNNNNNNNNNNNNNNNNNNNNNNNNNNNNNNNNNNNNNNNNNNNNNNNNNNNNNNNNNNNNNNNNNNNNNNNNNNNNNNNNNNNNNNNNNNNNNNNNNNNNNNNNNNNNNNNNNNNNNNNNNNNNNNNNNNNNNNNNNNNNNNNNNNNNNNNNNNNNNNNNNNNNNNNNNNNNNNNNNNNNNNNNNNNNNNNNNNNNNNNNNNNNNNNNNNNNNNNNNNNNNNNNNNNNNNNNNNNNNNNNNNNNNNNNNNNNNNNNNNNNNNNNNNUCAGUCAGUUAGUAUUGAGUCUCUUAUCUAUGUAUAUAUGUAAAUAUUCUAUUUUGAGACUCGAGUUGCCUUUUUGGGCCAGAUUUUAUCAGUUAAGUUGUUUUAUGUCUUUGCAUGGCAUUGAGUUAUUCUGUUGAGUCAGGUUUCCGCUGAGUUAAGAAAGCCAGGCCAAGGGUUCGCUUGGAGCCAGCAAUGGUCUCCGGGUGCCGAUCCCACCCAGGGUGUAGGCUCGGGGAGUGACAACAGGUUGAUUUUCAGAAGGGGAGUAAUGUUGUGAACUCAGUUCAUACAUUUGCUAAUUUGGAUAAUAAAGAGGAUGCAACAAGUGAUGAUUUUUGCAUUAGCAAACCGUGUCGGAGUACUAGAAGUGUAAUUCCACCUAAAAGGUUGGACAAUUACUUUUGGGCUGAAAGAAAGUCAUGUGAGCAAGGCAAGAGUUAGUUAUGGAAUUGGUAUAGAAGUGUGAGAAUGUGGGUAGGAAGUUAUUUGUGAUUCUGAAUAAUCUCAUUUCCUUCUACUAUCUUCUGAACGCCUUUUAGACUUCUAGUUUCAGAUUUCAAAUCUAUUUUCCUGUAUCGUUGUUUCCUGCAAUUUCCUUUGCUGUGUCUUAUCAUAUUGUAAUAGUAUUCAGCAAAACAUAUCGUGAAUUGUUGCAGACAACCAGCAUGUAUACACAAACUAUGAUAACCAUAUAAUGUGCACAAGACACGUGUUCAACUACGGGCAUAUGAAUUUUCGCUUAGCUUUUCCAGUUUUUGUUAAUGGAUUAUUUCAUCUAAGCCACAAACCUGCUCUUGUGAGUGCACCCUUGUAUUUCCUUUCCUAAAUUCAUACAUGACACACUAGUGCACAUCCAGAAGUAAACUGAUUUUCCCUCACCCCUUCCCUACGCAUAGCAACAAACACAUUAAGUGAAUACCCGAUAAAACUUAGUGCAGUCGAUGAAACAACAUUUCUAUCAGGCAAUUUAUCAAACACCUUGUGGGCGGACACCAUGUCAUAAGACAUUGAAUAAACAAUGAUCCAGUUGGUUCUCAAUUGAAUAUUUGCAGGAAAGCCAAUAGUUAGAUAGGAGUGAACCAAAAAGUGUAAGCCGUUUGGCAUUACAGAGAAUGGAUGAUUUCACUACAUUCCUAUUCAUGAUGAUUCUUUUGCAUGGAUAGUUUUUUCCUUUUCUCUGCAGAAAAACCGAUGAACUAACUAACAAUGAAGAAUGACUUACAUUGUACUAGUUGUGGCCGGAAGUUCAUUUGUUGAUUCUGGUAAGCUAAGAGCUCCUACAAGCUUAGAAGCCAGCUGCAGCUGCUAACCCCAAAUGCCCAAACAAAAUUGACAAAGAUAGGGUUUAAGCCACCGUAGCACACUCGCCGACGAAGCCAUCUCUACCGGAAUUCCGAGUAGCUCCACACUUUGCCUUUAAAGUAAGUAAUUCUACCAUUAAAGUCUCCUCAAAAUAGUAAUUUAUCCCUGGUACAAUUGUAUUUGUAAAUAUUUUCUCUAUUCAAUAAUAGUUGUCUGCUAUAUUAUUUUGUGAUAUUUAGUAAUAUUUGUCCACUUUAUUUUGCGAUAAUUUUACACUUAAUUUCUAAUUUACCCUCAUCAUUCAUUGUAGACAUUGUAUUUAUCAUAUUCAAAGGAUGAUAUAAUAAAUUAUUGUUCUAUAAUCAGAGGCGAAUCCAGGAUUUCAUAAAGACGGAUUCACCAUUGUCAAGGGCGACUCUUCCCCUUUAAGAAAAAGGCAAUCACUUUAGGCUCCCAAAUUUGAGGGCCUCAUUUAUUUUAGCAAUAAUAGCUUGUAGGUUUUUCGUAAGAAAACUAUUAAAUACGAUUUGCGGGAAAAAAAAUAAUAUUAAAGGAAAAAAUUAUUAGAAGUUUGAUAUUAUCUCAAGUACCAUGUCACAAGAAAAUUUAAAUGCAUUGGUUAUAUGAAUUAUUGACCGAAAAAAAUUAUUAAAAGAAACCAUUUAUUUAAAAAAAUGUAAUUCUACAUCUCAAGAAAUUUAAAAAGUACACUUUAUAAAACAAAAAUGAUAAAUUUAGAGCUCUCAAGCUUUUAAAUUAUUUUGUUUUAAAAAAUAACAAAUAAUAGUGCUUUUUAAUUAAUUUUUAAAAAGAGGUCCUCUCUAGAAAUCAAACCCUCAAACCUCACAAUCUAAAACCAACACUAGAACCAAUGAACCAUCAAGUCAUUUGUGAUCAUGGGUUCUUUAUUUAUUAUUUAAUAUAUUUUAAGAAUUAUACUGAUAAUAUAUCGAGUUUUGUUGAAUGAGCACGGGUUCUGGUGACCCAUUUUUUACACUUAAAAUUUGCCACUGUCUAUAAUUAUAGUUUUUUAAGGAAUGUAUAAAGUCAAUAAUAGAUAACUAUUAUUGGACAGAGGGAGUAGUAAUUUAUUACUUCCUCCGUUUCCAUUUAAAUGUCAUUAUAUUAGAUUUUACGCCCAUUAAGAAAUUAUGUAAGUUUACCAUUAUAAUUUUAUUUAGUAUUCUCUUGAAAUCAAAUUUUCAAUAAAUGAACAUAAAUUAAUUUAUUUUGAUUUAUUAAAAAUUGAAUUAAUCAUUUAGUUUUCUUGGUCAAAUUUAUACUUUCAAACCUAAUAUCUCUAAGGAUAAAAUAGAAAGAAUAGUGUAAUUUAUGCAUUGAUUUUGUGAAAUGACAAAUAUUAAAGAACAUCUAUUUUUAGUAAGGACAACACAUACUCCCUAUGUCCAACAAUAUUUAUCCACUAUUGACUUUGCACACUUGAAGGGUAAUUUUACUAUAUCACCAUUUGAAUAUAAUAAAUACAAUGUCUUGAAAAAUGUAAUUGAAAAAUGACUAAAUUUAAUGAAAAGGGUAAAUUAGGAAGUAAGUGUAAAAUUAUACAUUAAUUUCAUAAAGUGAACAAGUAUUGUUGGACAUCCCCAAAUAGUAUAGUGGACAACUAUUGUUGGACAGAGGGAGUAUUAUAAAAAAGUAAAUUUAUUCUUAUUAUAGGAAAAAAGUGAAAAAAAUAUUUGUAUUUGUAUGCAUAGCUCCUUUAUGACAUCUAACCUAUAUGUGAUAGAUAUUAAUUUUUUAAGCAUAUUUGGGUGAUAUUGUCUUUUUUAUAAAAAUAAAUUUAAGCCCUUCAUGUUUAGAAAUUUGUCCUAUAAUAUUACUUUUGGUUUAUUUUAUGAUAACAAUAUCACCUAACUAUUUUUAUUUUAUUGAAGAUUUAGGAGAAUAACUUGGGCAUAAAUGUAGUCUCUCUUAGGUUUGAUGAUUCAUAUAACACACCACUACAUGAAUCUAUGGACCUUUACAAAUUUCGAUUUUUUGGUUUCAAAGCACUUUUAAUGAUCCAAAUUGUAGAAAAUGAAUUGAGAAACCAAUAAAUGUAUAUCAACUAUCAUAACCAUGUAAGAUGUGUGUAUUAUUAUCUAAAUGAUUGUUAAUAGUCUCCAAAACUUCAUGGAUUUGAACCAAUUGAGGAUGAGUUUUCUCUCCUGCAAUGAAUUCAUGAACAACACCAUUGAUCUCAAGUGAGCUGCAACCUGGUACUUUUUCUAUAUAUUGGCCUUUCAUCUUCUUCCUUAUCCUUCUAGCAUUGUCAUGUUUACCAGCUGCAACAUAGAUAUUCGAGAGUAGAACGUAUGCUCCGCUAUGCCUUUCCAACUGCACAAUUCUCUCAGCAGCAGCCUCAGCCAAAUCAACAAGUCCGUGAUUCCCCGAGGCACUUAGUAAUGCUCUCCAAGCUAUAGCCUCUUCGGAAGGAACACUCGAAUUAGGCAUGUUUUGUACUAUCUUUCUUGCUUCCUCAACCAGCCCGGCUCUGCUUAGAACGUCGAUUAUGCAUCCAUAGUGUUCACCUUUAGGCUCAAUAUGAUACACAUUACACAUUAGAUUCAACAAAUUUAAACCUUCGUUCGCCAUACCUGCAUAACUACAAGCAGUAAACAUUGAAAUAAACGUAACAUCAUCCGGCCUAGUCCUGGAUUUUUGCAUCUCAUUGAAUAACUUUAAGGCCUUUAAACCAUUUCCAUUCACAGCAAAUCCUGAUAUCAUAGCAUUCCAACAAAUAAGGUCUCUUAUCGGCAUUUCAUCGAACACCUUCUCUGCUAUAUCUAAACAACCACAUUUCGCAUACAUAUCAAUAAGAGCAGUUCCUAGCUUAAUACUUGAUCCCAUUUUCAACUUCUUCACAUAUUUAUGAAUCCAUAUCCCAAUAUCAACACAACCCAAAUGAGCACAAGCAGAAAGUACACUAACAAGAAUAGCCUCAUCUGGUUCAAUUCCACUCAUUUGCAUUUGUCUAAACAAUUGUAACCCUUCUUUAAAGCAAUUAUUUUGUACAUAACAAGAUAUCAUACACCCCCAAACUCCUCUAUCCUUCACUAAACAUUCAUCAAAAAUCAAUCUUGCUUCAUAAACAUCCCCUGUUUUUGCAUACCCACAAAUCAAAACAGUCCAAGAAACAACACAAUUACAAGGAAUCUCAUAAAAAACAGAUCUUGCAGCUUCCACAUUGUCAAAACAAGUGUAGAAACCAAUUAAACUAUUACCCACAAAAGUAUCAAUCAAGAACCCUAAUUUCAAGAUUUGCCCAUGAACCAAUUCACCAAGAUGAAAACUUUUCAUUCUUCCACAAGCUUUUAAGACAUAAGGGAGUGUGUAGUUAUCAGGGUACAUCCCAAUUUUCAACAUGUUUUUGUAUAUCUCUGUGAUUCUGUUGAGCUCAUUAUCACCUUUGAGUAAGAAUGAUUUUAUCAUUGUAUUGAAUAUGCAAAUUGUGGGUUCUUGUAUUUGUUCAAAGAUUUUAAAGCCAUAAAUUGGGCUACCAAGAUUAGGAUGUGAACAGAAAGCUAACAGUCUGCUUAAAGCAAAACUGUUUUCCCCAAGUCCACAUGUGAUUACUUGUCCAUGUGCUUGCUUGAGUUGCAUCAUAUUUUUGCAUUUCUCUAGUAGGAAAAGGCACCUUCUUGUGCAUAUUGACAUUAGCUUUUGCUAAAUUUUCAUUUUUUUGAAAGAAAAGGAAGGCUUUAUAUUGCAGCAGCAUUCACUAUAAUACCUAUCAAAAAUCAACUAAGUAUUUUUUUUUAUAUAAAUAAAAAAAAUCAAACCAGAUAACUUACAAAAAUCUAACUAGCUUAGGAGCUAGAUCUUUAGAUAUACAUUAAUUUAUAAUAUUAUGAAUCUUACCAGAUUUUGAUGUGUCUAGAUACAUGUAUAUGAGAAUACAUGAGGUCAAAUUAGGUGUCUAGAUACAUGACAUCCAAGUGGAUUUAGAAUACAUAGACAAAUCUCGCUUGCUCGAUCUCACUCCUCUUCACGAAUGAGAUGAUGCGAAGACCAACUGGCUUCAUUCUUCGUAAACACGGUGGUCUUAUUGCGAACACAAAGAAGAGUGCACUGGCACCAAAAGACAACAGUUCAGUUGUAAACUUCUUUAACCAAAACCCGAAAGGAUCCUUGGAAAUCGUUUUGAUAACAAACCAAAUAUGUAGAUCGACUCAAAUCACUAAAAAUGCCUCAGUAUUCGUGCAAACCGUCCAACAAAGUUAUAAAUCACCCCUCGAACCUAACGGAGCUGUCGAACUCAAAUCUGCCCUCGUUAAUCUAGAAUAUUGACUUUAAUCAAACUUCAAGACUGAAAAUCUUAUCUGAUCACCUCGGAAAUUGCAUCACCCAGCCCCGCAAGUCACAAAUGACAUAUGAAACCACAAAAAGGGUCAAAACACGAAAAGAAAAAAACACAUAAAACUCAAAUGACCAUAAGGAACGUUACAACUUUAUGGAGGAAAUACUCACUUAAAUUAGUAAUAGUAACGUCUAAUAAAUCAUUAAACCACAACUCUAUGUGGGUACAAUAUCUGACUCACUAAUCACUAUAUUACUUGGCGAUCAAGCACUCUUGAGUGUGCGUUUGAGAGCAACACACACCUACUUUCUUAGACUCCACUUGUGGGAUUACAUUGAGUAUGUCAUUAUUGUUUCAAGAGUCAAUUGUUAGUAUUUAGCUUAAUGCUAGACACCUGCUAAAAUACAACUAAAUUUGGUCCAAAAUUCAGUGAGAUUCAGUUGGAAAAACAAGAUAGAAAGUUAUAUCCAACAAGUCACAAGAAGCAAAACCCAAGCCAAUGUAGAAAAGCUUUACUAAAAAGUGAAAAUCAUACUCAAAUCUCAAAACAAUGAUUAAUCCAAAAAUAGUAAAUGCAUUUAGAAGGAAAAGGGGCACAUUAUGAAGUCCAAUGUUACUUUUCUAUAUUUGUUUCUUGGUCACACAGUCACACUUGACACAAAUCUGUUUGUAUGUAAACCAAAAACCUGUACAAAGUAAAAAAGGAAACUUGAAAAGUAUUCACAGCCUAUUCAUGAAAAACAAGUAACCAUCUAUAAGAAGAAAAGAAUACUUACCUUUCAUGCAAAGAUACUUUAACUUUGCUCCUUCAAUCACCUUUCCCUAACAAAAUAAAUGUUUCUUUAAAUAGGCAUCAAUCAGAUAUUCACUGUUGAAAAUAGUUUCAAAUUAAGCAUAUGAGGUAAGGGGAAAAAACAUUUUGUUAUCUUUCUUCUUUUAUAUUUUCUUCUUUUUAAACUACCUUUAAUCUUCAAGAAUGUAAUAGGUAGGAGUGUGUUGUCUUGAUGUACGUGCAUACUAGUAGUCAUAGUAUUACUUUUCUAAUUUUUUGUCCUUCAAUUUCUGUUACUAUCGGUUAUUUCUUGUACUUUGAUUAGCGUAUUAUUUUGUUGUAGUUUUAUUCUGUUACUAUUUGUUGUUUCUUGUACUCUCAUUUUUCCUUUUCUGGACUGCUUUGGAAUGUUUCUUUCUUCACUCGAGAAUCUAUCAAAAACAAUCUCUUUAUUUGGGAUUACACUGAAUAUGUUGUUGUUAUUGUAUGGUAUUCAAGAAUACACUAUGUGUUCCUUCUUUUAAUUCCCCUAGAUUUACAAUUUCUUUUAGGGUGAGUUUCUCUGGUGCAGGGGAAGAAUAUGAACAAUAGAGACAGAGGAAUACCAUCCCAGAAAACACAAAUGUCCAAAGGUGGUAUAAGCUCUUUAUAAAUAUUUUUUUUAUAACCGAGAAAUUUCUGAGAGCUAGUGGGGCACGAUUCAGAACUCGAUGAAUAACCGUGUGAGACGUGUUCCCACGGGCUCUUCAGAGUCUGAAUCUUGAAACAAAACAAAAGAAAGUUUAGUGAUUUUUUUUUGUAUAUUCUUUUUCUCUCUGGCAGAGACGAAAAGAACCGUUAGCUGGUUAGAAAGACAGUUUACGACAAAAACCAGUCGAGAUUAUGAUUCCAGUAAUGGUGUUGAUUACCCAACUGCAGUAGCUGUAGCUGCAUUUGUUGUAAAAUCAAUUGAAGACAAGAGUGACAAGGACCAAACAAGGACAAACAUUGGAGCUAAUAAACCUUUAAGCAAAAUUAAGAGUAAAGCAAAUGAUACAAUUGAGAGACCUGAAAAGUCCACAGGUCAGACCGACCUCUCUAUAACAGUCAUCCUCUAUAAUAACAUUUCACUAUAAGUAGAAAGUUUUCUUUAGAGUCGACUUUUCAUGUUAUGUUAGUAUAUUAUAUGUUUUCUAUAACAAGCAUUUUGCUAUAGCAGCUAAAAAAUAUUUGGACAAACAACGGACAUAAUGGAACAUUAUGCAACAAUUGAGUUAAUGUCACUGCAUUCAGAGUCGUUAAAGCCUUUAGCAGUAUUUAUAUAGUGACAAUUAUAUUAUUAUCGCUAAAUAAUUGAAGCAAAAUCAUCAUAUGUUGUAGUGUUUACUCAUUUCCUCCUUAUUUAUAAUCAGCUGUCAAAACUGCAAAGUCGAGUUCAAAAGUUCAAGACAAAAACAUUGUAAUACGAACAGCUACGUUGAAUCAAAAACCACUCAACUCCACGAGAUCCAUUAAGCAGAGUGCAACCUUUGAGGAUACCAGAAAGAACUCCACAUUUAAGAACAUUGACAUUGCAUCUACCAAAACGCCAACUAGACUAUCGAUGUCUCAAAAAGAGAUGACGAAAGGAACAACUACGACAAAUCAUGUAGUUAGAAAUUCUAAAGCAGAUAUUUGGGAGAAAGAAGAGAUGAAGAAGAUCAAAGAACGGUACGAAGUUAUACUGAAUUUCAUAUGAUUGAAACUGAAAAACACAAAUUGUUGUCAUCUAACUACAAAGAGAUUUUCAGCCAUGAAAAGCAACAUAAUGUGAUACUUGAUUGGGAGACUAGGAAGAAGAAAAAGUCGAAACGACACUUAGAGCAAAUUGAGGUUUAUUCUAAUUUCUCUCUUUUAAUUUGAUUCGAAAACAGUCUCUCUACCUCAGAGAGGUAGUGGUAACAUCUGCGUAUACUUUACCCUCCUCAGACUCCACUUUGUGGGAUUUCACUGAAUUUGUUAUUCAUUUGCUUACUACAUACAAAAUGAAAUUACAGGCAAAAAUAGAUAGACGAAGGGCGAAGACAAAGCAAAGUUUCUACAACGAUAUUGAAAGGAUCGAAAAGAUAGCAGGAGGAGCCAAAGCAAAAGCAGAGCAAAAUCAAGAAAAAGAAGAGCAUAAGGUGAAAGAGAAAGCAAAUAAAAUCAGAUCAACUGGGAAAAUGCCAGCAACAUGUUUGUGCUUUUAAGCUAAGAUCGAUUACACGAAAGAACGUAAAUAUUGUACAAUCAACAUCAACAUUUGGAUGAUCUUUCAAACUUUUAUGCAAGCAAAAGAUGUAGGGAAUAAACGUUUAUCGUAAAAGAAUAUAUAGUUUUCGAUUGUUGAAGUGUGACACUAUCGUCUUAUCUUAAAGUUAAAGUUGUUAGUUCGAACACACUAUUUACUUAAUUAUGUCUUAGACACAAACUUUACUUUGAUUAAUCAACUUGAUACAAAUGCAAACCUCCUAAUUCCACCUGUGAAAUUACACUAGAUUUAUUGUCGUUGAAUGAUAAUCAAUGGAUUAUAAUAACUCUAGUCAAUAACAGCACCAUUAUUGUUUCAUUAGGCAAAAACUAAAAUCAAGGAUAAUUUAAUAGUCUUUCAUGUAAUUGAUAGUACAUAUAGCAUUAGAUGGAGGGAAGAUUUGUACAAAUUUUCUACAUAUAAAGUACAGCAAUAUUUUUAACCUUGAAAAGUAUUUAUAAGGAGAUCCCUGGGUCCAACCCAAAUUGAAAACUACUCAAUGGACUUAAAAUAUAGAGAGUUAUAUUGUGUAAUAUAUAUACCAAAUGAAAUCUCUUUGAAUCUAGUAUUUGAAGCCUUUUAAGUCGAUUAUCAUUUGCAUUUGCAUAAUUAGACACUUAAGUUUGUCAAAAUUAAAUAAAUAGACGUACGCAUUCUUCAUAUUAUAAUACACGUAGGAUGCCACAUAUAACACAAAAUUGUUAGGUAGGACGUCAUGUAAGGAAAAUGUGUCUAUUCAUUUAAUUUUAUACAAAUUUGAAUAUACUUGUACAUAUCCAAAAUUCGAUAACAUAGAUGUCCGAGCCGAAAAAAGAUUAGAUGGAACAAUGUGUGGUUCUCUAAAACAAAUUUAUUUUUAUUAAUUGGCCUAACACAAGUGGCAAUGCAGCCUAGCCACACAUUACAAAUCACAUUUAUCCAAAUAUUAAAUAGAAAUUAGUAAAACAUAAUAUCAAAAAAAUUAAAUCAGAUCAAGGUCAAUGCUUCUUCAAGAAAUCUCCGGCCAUCUUCAGAUAAUCUCCUUUUUUACCAGAUUCCGACGACUGACUCCCAUCGGAAUUUUUCUUCAAAAGUCCUUCCGCCAUUUUAAUAUACUCACCAUACCCACUUCCUGCUUUUUCAUGUUUUCCUCCACCUGUAUGCCCCGAUGACUGCGUAUGUGC